rnacentral:rRNA from 1 species
ACUCCUACGGGAGGCAGCAGUGAGGAAUAUUGCACAAUGGAGGAAACUCUGAUGCAGCAACGCCGCGUGGAGGAUGACGCAUUUCGGUGUGUAAACUCCUUUUAUUAGGGAAGAUAAUGACGGUACCUAAUGAAUAAGCACCGGCUAACUCCGUGCCAGCAGCCGCGGUAAUACGGAGGGUGCAAGCGU